ACAGUAAGUUGACUAACUGUACAAGACCUCUCCCCUUCACUUCACUCUACUGCAGGGUGGGAGAUGCAACAAUGGCCUUGAGAACAGCAGGAAGUGUGUUGGUGGUCUUUCUCUGGUCUGUAGCAGUGGUACUGGGUCAGGAUGGCUGGAGUGUGACUUACACCACUCAGAGUAUCUGUGCCUUGAAGGGGUCAACAGUGGAGCUGACCUGCUCUUACACAUAUCCCAGAGGUCAUAAAGUCACAUCAACCCUCUGGUUCACUAAAUGGGGGACUGGUGUAGAACCUAAAGAUCUAGGUCAGGACCCAGAGUAUACAGGUCGUCUGGAGUAUCAUGGGGAUAAGAAAAAAGACUGUACCCUGAGAAUCACAGACCUGAGAGAGAGUGACUCAGCUAUGUACAAGUUCAGAUUUAUAACAGAUCAGACUGAAGGGAGAUAUUAUGGAGAUCCUGGAGUCACUCUGUCUGUAACAGCUCUGCAGGUGAAGGUGACUCCUUCACAUUGGUCACAGAGGAAGACACUGACCUGUAGAACCACCAGC